AGUGGCGGACGGGUGAGUAACGCGUGGGUAACCUGCCUCACACUGGGGGACAACAGUUAGAAAUGACUGCUAAUACCGCAUAAGCGCACAGGACCGCAUGGUCCGGUGUGGAAAACUCCGGUGGUGUGAGAUGGACCCGCGUUUGAUUAGCUAGUUGGUGGGGUAACGGCCUACCAAGGCGACGAUCAAUAGCCGACCUGAGAGGGUGACCGGCCACAUUGGGACUGAGACACGGCCCAA
rnacentral:rRNA from 1 species